rfam:Triticum aestivum genome assembly, contig: Triticum_aestivum_CS42_TGACv1_scaffold_320914_4BL
UAUCUACUCGCUCCGUCCGAAAAUACUUGUCAUCAAAAUGGAUAAAAGGAGGUGUACCUAGACAUUUUUUAGUUCUAGAUUCAUCCCUUCUUAUCCAUUUUGAUAACAAGUAUUUUCGGACGGAGGGAGUACUUG